UGACUAUCUAUCAAUUUUUUCUUGAGCAAUGUGAACAAAAGGUGGAUUGCAUCAUUACUGAGAGCCUUAGUUCUUGUCAAGCCUAGUUUUUAAGUACUUGAGGUCCAUAUUUAGCAACGGUUAUAGAACUCUGAAACUAAUAUUUAUCUACAAGUGCGUAGUCAUUUGUGCAUGACCAUCUUAUUAACAAGAAUGAAGGAUGCUUAGGUUUUUGAGAAUACAUAGAAAUGUUAUUGUCAUGUAUUUUAUGCUGUCCGAUUUAAGAUAUUAGAAGGAUUAGGAUCACAUCCACUCCAUAGUUGCAAUGAUAAUGAUGGUAGUAUUCUCAAUGGAUUCCUUGUUUGCAAAUGUUAUUUUCCAGAAUUGCAUUUCAUGCCCUAGCAUCCAG
rnacentral:misc_RNA from 1 species